rnacentral:rRNA from 1 species
AGUGAACGCUGGCGGUAGGCCUAACACAUGCAAGUCGAACGGCAGCACAGUAAGAGCUUGCUCUUACGGGUGGCGAGUGGCGGACGGGUGCGGAAUACAUCGGAAUCUACUUUUUCGUGGGGGAUAACGUAGGGAAACUUGCGCUAAUACCGCAUACGACCUACGGGUGAAAGCAGGGGAUCUUCGGACCUUGCGCGAUUGAAUGAGCCGAUGUCGGAUUAGCUAGUUGGCGGGGUAAAGGCCCACCAAGGCGACGAUCCGUAGCUGGUCUGAGAGGAUGAUCAGCCACACUGGAACUGAGACACGGUCCAGACUCCUACGGGAGGCAGCAGUGGGGAAUAUUGGACAAUGGGCGCAAGCCUGAUCCAGCCAUACCGCGUGGGUGAAGAAGGCCUUCGGGUUGUAAAGCCCUUUUGUUGGGAAAGAAAAGCAGCAGGUUAAUACCCCGCUGUUCUGACGGUACCCAAAGAAUAAGCACCGGCUAACUUCGUG